GCCUGGGGAGUACGGCCGCAAGGUUAAAACUCAAAUGAAUUGACGGGGGCCCGCACAAGCGGUGGAGCAUGUGGUUUAAUUCGAUGCAACGCGAAGAACCUUACCUACUCUUGACAUCCAGAGAACUUAGCAGAGAUGCUUUGGUGCCUUCGGGAACUCUGAGACAGGUGCUGCAUGGCUGUCGUCAGCUCGUGUUGUGAAAUGUUGGGUUAAGUCCCGCAACGAGCGCAACCCUUAUCCUUUGUUGCCAGCGGUUCGGCCGGGAACU
rnacentral:rRNA from 1 species